CUGUGAACUAGCGUUCUGGACUAAGCCAUGCAAGUGUAAGCUCAAGACCUGUUCCAGGUCGAAGCCGCAUACGGCUCCGUACAAGGUAGUUAAUCUACGGCCCGUCAACGAGACGGAUAACUCUGGAAAACUAGAGCCAAUACGUGCAAACUAAUGCUCGACUUCGGUCGGGUGCAGUUAUCGGUCAGGAACGCGUCAGCUUCGGUUGGCGUUCAGGUGACUCUGGGUAACUUCGCGAACCGCAGGCAUUGCCUGUCGGUGUGGGCCACGAGACUACCACCCAUCAAUUUGUUGGUAGGGUAUUGGCUUACCAAGAUCGUCACGGGUACGGGGAAUCAGGGUUCGAUUCCGGAGAGUAGGCCUGAGAAACGGCCGCCAUUGCUACGGCACCCAGCAGGCGCGAAAAUUUGUCAAUGUUCGGACGAAUGAACGAGCAAGAACGUACGACCGGACGAGACACUACGUGUUAUCGUCACGGUGAUGAGGUGAGUCCAAAGAGCUCAUCGAUUACAGCUGGAGGGCAAGCCUGGUGCCAGCAGCCGCGGUAAUUCCAGCUCCGGAAGUUCACGGGAUUAUUGCUGAGACUAAAACGUCCGUAGUCGGAAUCACCGGAUCUGUUAGUGCACCUACGCUUGAUGCGUACGGUUUGCUGACAGAUUCACGACCGCACGUACGCUUCGGCGUGCGUCGGUCCGCGUCCGUGACCUAAACCAAGUGAUCGAAACGAGCUCGUGCUCGAUGGUUUUGCAUGGAAUCGUGGAACGGGACCGGAUCUCUGUUCGUUCCGAGGAGAUCCGGUGACGAUCAACGGGAGCAGUCGGAGGCAGGGAAACUGACGGGCGAGGGGUAAAAUCUGAUGAGCCCGGACGGAUGACCAAAAGCGAAGGCACCUGCCGAGUCUGUUUCCGUCGACAAAGGACCGAAGCCACCCCAGUCAACAGGAUUAGAUACCCCGGUAGCGGUGUGCCCCAAACUAUGCCGACCGGCCGGACGCCGAGCUAACACAUGUUGCGGGUGUUCGGCCCGAGGAAGCUGGAGUGAUUUGGCUUCUGGGAGAUUACGGCUGCAAAGCUGAAACUUAAAGGAAUUGACGGAAGGGCACCAUCAGGUCUGGAUUAUGCGGCUCAAUUGGAUUCGACGCCCGACAUUCCACCAGGACAGGAGCGCCCGAUGAAGCACCGGCCGAAUACCUCUGCCGAUGGGCGUGCGGGUGGUGCAUGGCCGCCGUAGUUCGUGAGGUGACUUGUCUGGUUAAUUCCGACAACGAACGCAACCGCAUAGCUCAACUAUUCNGUUGGCCGUUCAUCGAUCGACGGAAAACUUGAGCCGACUCGUCGACGCAGUGCGUUAAGCACAAGUCGAAGGAAGUUACGGCGAUGGCAGGUCUGUGAUGCCCCUAGACGCCCUGGAUCGCACGCGUCAUACAAUGCCAACCCGAAUGCGCCUGUUUGCCCGAAAGGGUUUACGAAACGCACGAAAAGUUGGCCCAGUCGGGAUCGAGGAUUGAAACUGUUUCUCGUGAACGC
rnacentral:rRNA from 1 species